CGUCAGAGUGCCUGGGGCGCAUAUAAGCAGCACACACACCAGACAUAAUCCGCCCAGGCUCCAGCAGGCAGACCGUGCCUUAACCCAGCCACCACAUCCAGGGAACUGUCUUUUUUGGACUCCCCCACUUUUUGUAUACUGGUUGGUGGUGUGCUGUGCGGCCGUCUCUUCCCUGCAUCCCCGUGGGUAUUCCUUUAUUCCUUCUUUCUUUUUUGGAGGUUUUAAAAGAUAAUAUAGUAUGCAUUCUUGUCCCUGAAGAAGCCCGAUGGGCAAAACAUGUUGGACCCCCUGCAUACAUCACUUUGUCACCCCUCAAAUUGGUGAAAUAUAUCAUCUUAUGUGAUCAUGUUUUUUAUUCCAUAUAUUUUUGUAUAUGUUCAAUGUUUAAUUAAAUUAUAUUUUU